rnacentral:tRNA from 1 species
AGCGGAGUAGAGGAGUUAGGUCGUCCUCGCGGGUUUCAUAGGCCCUGAGAUCGUGGGUUCAAAUCCCACCUCCGCCA